AUGAGCCACUGCAGUCUGCAUUUAGAGUGUAUCAUUUCACAGAGACAGCUGUCACUAAAGUGGUAAAUGAUCUUCUCCUUGCAAUGGAUUCUGACACCACUAAGGUUCUGACCUAACCAGUGGUU